UGUACACCACCCCCGUCACACCAUGGAAGCUGGUCACGCCCGAAGUCAUUACCUCAACCGCAAGGAGGGGGAUGCCUAAGGCAGGGCUAGUGACUGGGGUGAAGUCGUAACAAGGUAGCCGUACCGGAAGGUGUGGCUGGAUCACCUCCUUA
rnacentral:rRNA from 2 species